GGAUCAUAGGGGCAGAUUUCCCCCUUGCUGUUCUCAUGAUAGUAAGUUCUCAUGAGAUCUAGUUGUUUAAAAGUGAGUAGCACCUCCCGCUCUCUCUCUUCCUCUUGCUCUGGCCAUGUGAAGAAAUGCCUGCUUUGCCUUCUGCCACAAUUGCACACGGGAUGUUUGUGCUUCCUCAUCUCUAAAAGUCAGUUACAGCCAUCUGGCUGUCAUUGACCAAUGAAGUGGGAACAGAAGCGAUAUGUGUCACUUCAGGCAGAAGCACGGAAGAGCUACGGUGGGAUUCUCCAGGCUGUCUUCCCUUGCAAAGGUGAAUCUUGAAGCCACACAUUGAGCUGACAACAUUGAAGGAUAAUAAAGCCUCCAGCAACUUCCAUUCCAGGAUGACAAUGAAAGCAGGGGCGACUUGUGAGUACUUUUCUGAGUCGCAGAGUGACACUGCACAGUGAAGGUGAACUUCGUCGUAAUCCCCUAUGAAUUUAAAGACGGUGACGUGAAAGCGACAGGUCAGGGAGACUGCAUUCUCCUCGAUGCCAAUGGUGUUAUCUUUGAGGUUCUGACACCUAUUCAGAAAAAAUAAUGGAAUCUUUGCUUCACAUGUUUUCCUCUUACACCUUAAUCCUCACCUUCAGUUCAAAAUUUCACUUUUCACAUAAAACCACCAUAAAUGGCAGAAAUGCCUUUACAUUUGAAAGUGACCCCUGGACUGCAUGGGCUUGUCAUUUAUUAUCACUCCCUCAUGUUUUCAUAGUUUGUUUUGAAACAUCAAACACCACCUUGAAUUAGUAUCCUAACUGCAACUAAAAACAAAACGACUGCAGGGACCACAUUCAAUUUCCCCACGCUUCAGUUUCUCAUUCCGCCCCCUCAUAAUGUUGUGUUCUACCGAUACCAAUUUAAUAAACACAAG
rnacentral:lncRNA from 10 species